rnacentral:lncRNA from 7 species
AUCUGAUACCGAUUGUCUGCCUGUACUCUAUAGUUUUUCUAUACUUUAUGUCAGGCCUUUUUUUCUUAUCCUUUUGCUAGUUUUUCAGUCUCUGAGCUAGAAGGAGUUGGAAUUGUUCAGGAAUGAAUGAGGAGACAUAAUCUAGUCUGCCUGAGACUAGGGAGGAAUUUAUGAGCGUGGAACAGCUAAACAUGGAACAUAAUGAGCAGAGAGGCGCAGAUAAGUCCUUUUCCAGUCGCCCUGACAACGACAAGGCUAAAUGAUGUUGCAUGCUCCAGGUAUUUCACCACUUGAAUACCUUGCAUUCUGCAAGACAAUGAUGUCCUGUCUCCUUGUGCCCGUCAGGAAUAUUGGUGCAGAAAUGGAAAUGAUGGAAAUGCACCCCAUUACAUCAGGUUUGCCUGCUGGCCACAGAGAAAGAAAAUCAGGAAAGGAAACCCCCUCAGAGUUACAAGAUCAGAAAAGAGAACAAUGCAAAAAAACUGAAUAUGUUUCCAGAUUUUUAUGGUAUGCUGCCAGCUCUGGCAUUGGUACCAAGUCAUGCAGUGUGUAGAAGCAAAGACAGAGCCCUCUACAAAGUGCAGAAGCGCUCGCUGCUCAAAGGAGAUUUGUGCUGCUCCUGCAGAGUGUCCCCCACUCUGUGUUAUUAUCAGUUUGAAAGCUCUCAGGAAGAUGUGGUUCUCUUUGGAGCACUGUCCUUCAGCCGCCCCUCAGCAGGCAGCCUGGCUGCUGCUCUGCACCCAUCAGCAGUUGUGCCAGCCUGUGCUUUGCUGCCUUUUGACCUGUGACGAGGCAGGCACAGGGACCUGAAACCACAGAACAGGGAAUACCGCAUCUAAUUCAGCAGCAGCACAAUAUUCAGUCAGCUUAAACUGACAUAGAAAUGGCACCCUCCAUGUCAACAUGAGGCUGCUGUGACUCCGAAGGCACUUGGCAGAACUGGGCCAUUUAAACUGUGAACUUGUUUGCAGGGUGUCACAUCCUAACAGUAUAAGCUUCAUUUUUUCACUUGCCCAUUGCUGGUAGCAUGCUGGCUUAUGACUAUUUCACCGAUUAUCUUCCACCAAGUACGUCCUGUUUCAUGCCUAACCAAAAUAUCAAUACUCUUUUUGCUGUCACAGUUGGACAGAAUCAAGGGAGGCUGUAGAAGGUCCAUAAAAAUAACAUAUUUACCAAGCAAUCCAGAAGUAAUAGAUGACUUACAAGAAGAACAAUGAAACAGUUUUAGGAGCCUCUGUUUUCAAUUCGAUUUUAUCUAUAAUAAAUCUGUUGGGGUGCUGACUGACAGGCUGACCUGC